UGCUUAAUGCAUGCAAGUCGUACGCGCUAGACUUCGGUCUGGUGAGUGGCGCACGGCUGAGUAACACGUGGGUCAUCUGCCCCGGUGUGGGGGACAACGGGUCGAAAGAUCCGCUAAUCCCGCAUACGGUCUCUUCGGAGAAGAAAGCCUUCGGGCGCACUGGGAUGAGCCUGCGGCCCAUCAGGUAGUUGGUGUGGUAAUGGCGCACCAAGCCGAUGACGGGUACCUGGUCUGAGAGGACGAUCAGGCAGACUGGGACUGAGACACGGCCCAGACUCCUACGGGAGGCAGCAGCAAGGAAUUUUCCGCAAUGGGCGCAAGCCUGACGGAGCAACGCCGCGUGCAGGACGACGGCCUUCGGGUUGUAAACUGCUUUUACCGGGGACGAUAUGGACGGUACCCGGCGAAUAAGCCCCGGCUAACUCCGUGCCAGCAGCCGCGGUAAUACGGAGGGGGCAAGCGUUGUCCGGACUUACUGGGCGUAAAGCGCACGUAGGCGGCGUCGUGCGUCGGCACUGAAAGCGCUCGGCUUAACCGAGCGAGGCGUGUCGAUACGACGAUGCUUGAGGCAAUGAGAGGUUGGUAGAAUUCCGGGUGUAGUGGUGAAAUGCGUAGAGAUCCGGAGGAAUGCCUGUGGCGAAAGCGACCAACUGGUGUUGACCUGACGCUGAGGUGCGAAAGCGUGGGGAGUGAACCGGAUUAGAUACCCGGGUAGUCCACGCGGUAAACGAUGUCGGCUCGGUGUGUGGCGAUGAUAC
rnacentral:rRNA from 1 species